UGGAUGAAAUAAAUUAAAAAAUUUAAAAAAUGUCCAGUUGCACCUUAGAGACCAGCUAAGUUUGUUCUGGGUAUAAGCUGUCGUGUACAUGCACACUUCUUCAGAUCCCUGAAGAAAAGCUUAUACCGAGAACAAACAGUUGGUCUCUAAGGUGCUACUGGACAAUUUUUAUUUUUUUUAAUUUAUUUUGACUG
rnacentral:miRNA from 1 species